AUCAGAACAAGGAUAACUGCAGCGGCAACAAAACCGAUGAGUAGCGGUGUGAAGAGCUCAUGAGGAACAGUGCUUUCUGUGAAGAUUAAAACAACAGGGCUACCGUCAGAGUGACAGAGACAUCAAUAUAAGACAGGCGGACAUUGAGUUGAUAUUCUCCAGAUUUAACCGUGACUCCUGCCAGAGUCCCGACGCAGACGUAACAUCCCUCAAAGUGCUUCCUAACAUCUUGCAACGCCACACCCGUCUCAAUGCUGGUCGAAUAUCUCAGGCUGUCAGGCGGACAUUGAGUUGAUAUUCUCCAGAUUUAACCGUGACUCCUGCCAGAGUCCCGACGCAGACGUAACAUCCCUCAAAGUGCUUCCUAACAUCUUGCAAUGCCACACCCGUCUCAAUGCUGGUCGAAUAUCUCAGGCUGUCAGUGGAGCCUGUUGGAGAUAAAUCAUCCCUCAAGAGUAUUUUAAAGGGCUGUGAUCACAGAAAAACACUGCUAACCCAUCAACAAGCUCAGCAGAGCCCAGCCUGG